rnacentral:rRNA from 1 species
GUCAGCGACCAUACCACGUAGAAAGCACCGGUUCUCGUCCGAUCACCGAAGUUAAGCUACGUUGGGCCCGGUUAGUACUUGCAUGGGGGACCGGCUGGGAAUACCGGGUGUUGCCGACA